rnacentral:rRNA from 1 species
UGGGGAAUAUUGCACAAUGGGGGAAACCCUGAUGCAGCGACGCCGCGUGAGCGAAGAAGUAUUUCGGUAUGUAAAGCUCUAUCAGCAGGGAAGAAAAUGACGGUACCUGACUAAGAAGCACCGGCUAAAUACGUGCCAGCAGCCGCGGUAAUACGUAUGGUGCAAGCGUUAUCCGGAUUUACUGGGUGUAAAGGGAGCGUAGACGGCUGUGUAAGUCUGAAGUGAAAGCCCGGGGCUCAACCCCGGGACUGCUUUGGAAACUAUGCAGCUAGAGUGUCGGAGAGGUAAGUGGAAUUCCCAGUGUAGCGGUGAAAUGCGUAGAUAUUGGGAGGAACACCAGUGGCGAAGGCGGCUUACUGGACGAUGACUGACGUUGAGGCUCGAAAGCGUGGGGAGCAAACA